rnacentral:lncRNA from 1 species
GUCAUGUUACAUGUAUGCUGAGAAUAUUUUAAUGUCACAAAGUUAUGAAAUGGAUAAAUGAAAUAUUGUCAACCAUUUAAAUAAAACAGACAAGCUCACAUAAAAAUCAACAGCCUAUGUGAAAGUUCAAGUUUAAUAAAAUUGUUUAGAUUUAACAUACCAUAUAUCCAAAAGUACAGAAUUGCCUUUCUCAGAAAUUUUGUAUGUUUAAUAGAAUGAUAGUUGUAGCUUUUAUUUUCUUGGAACUGUUUCAAUACAAAAUAGGGAGA